ACUCCUGCGGGAGGCAGCAGUGAGGAAUAUUGGACAAUGGGUGGAAGCCUGAUCCAGCCAUCCCGCGUGCAGGAAGACGGCCCUAUGGGUUGUAAACUGCUUUUAUCUGGGGAUAAACCUACUUACGUGUAAGUAGCUGAAGGUACCAGAAGAAUAAGCACCGGCUAACUCCGUGCCAGCAGCCGCGGUAAUACGGAGGGUGCAAGCGUUAUCCGGAUUUAUUGGGUUUAAAGGGUCCGUAGGCGGACUGAUAAGUCAGUGGUGAAAUCCGACAGCUUAACUGUCGAACUGCCAUUGAUACUGUUAGUCUUGAGUAAGGUUGAAGUGGCUGGAAUAAGUAGUGUAGCGGUGAAAUGCAUAGAUAUUACUUAGAACACCAAUUGCGAAGGCAGGUCACUAAGUCUUAACUGACGCUGAUGGACGAAAGCGUGGGGAGCGAACAGGAUUAGAAACCCUAGUAGUCCC
rnacentral:rRNA from 1 species